UGACCACACCCCUGGUCACUCGGCAGGCCGGACCACCUGAACAGCCACGUCCGGCAGGUGCACUCCACCGAGCGGCCCUUCAAGUGCCAGACGUGCGAGGCGGCGUUCGCCACGCUGUGACCGGCUGCGGGCGCACAGCGGUGCGGCACGAGGACAAGGUGCCGUGCCACGUCUGCGGGCAAGCUGCUGAGCGCCGCCUACGUGGGGCGACCACCUGCGGGUGCACGGCCCCGCCCCCCGCGGCCAGGGCGGGGCCACAGGUUCCGGCCCCGCCCCCAGCCCCGCCCCCGCCCCUCCCCCACCCCUGGACGGGGCCCCCGGGGGCAGCCAGGGCUGGUGAGGGGGGGAGGGGCUCCCCAAGCCACGCCCCCGCCCCGAGCCACGCCCCCUUUGUCCACCUUAAGCCCCGCCCACCCAAACCAGGGAAGGGGCGGGGCCAACCAAUAAAAAAUGGAGGUCGGAAAAGGCUCCGCCCAC